GAUGAACGCUGGCGGCGUGCUUAACACAUGCAAGUCGAACGGAAAGGCUCCUGCUUGCAGGGGUACUCGAGUGGCGAACGGGUGAGUAACACGUGGGUGAUCUGCCCUGCACUUCGGGAUAAGCCUGGGAAACUGGGUCUAAUACCGGAUAGGACGAUGGUUUGGAUGCCAUUGUGGAAAGUUUUUUCGGUGUGGAAUGAGCUCGCGGCCUAUCAGCUUGUUGGUGGGGUAAUGGCCUACCAAGGCGUCGACGGGUAGCCGGCCUGAGAGGGUGUACGGCCACAUUGGGACUGAGAUACGGCCCAGACUCCUACGGGAGGCAGCAGUGGGGAAUAUUGCACAAUGGGCGCAAGCCUGAUGCAGCGACGCCGCGUGGGGGAUGACGGCCUUCGGGUUGUAAACUCCUUUCGCUAGGGACGAAGCGCAAGUGACGGUACCUGGAGAAGAAGCACCGGCUAACUACGUG
rnacentral:rRNA from 1 species